UGAGACUUGUAAAGCUGGUUAUGUCGGAGUAACUACAAACUCCAUGGUGGCUUAAAGGACUCAAGGCUCAACUCACCCGAGGUUGAAGCUGAUUACGUAAUGACAUCAAAGAAGUUUCAAGAGUGUGGAAAAUUUACAAGUUUAAAUACAAG